AUAAUAAUAAUAUAAAAACAGCUUUACAUGCAAUUUAAAUGUUUCCUUACAAAUCACUGUAAUAUACUAAUGUACCAAUUGACAAGGUAUAUCGUUUAGUUACAGCAUUAGUUGAGUUAGAUUUUUAACUCAGCUUUAGCCUUAUGUCUGAGUAAAUCAAUGACUAAUGUUGUGUUUUUGGGAUCGUGUUGUUCUGCAUGUUUGAGAAUGAAGACUAAAAUCAACUGCAAUUACAUCCUGAGGGGCUCAAGUAUCUCCCUCAAUGAAGACAUGGAGACACUCAUUAAAGAAUAUGUGAUUGGCUGUGUCCAGUUCCAUCAGAAUUCUCUUCUCCUUAAGGACUGUGAAAGUGCAGAGGGCUGAGUCUGGAAUCACACAGACAACAGUGGGCAUGUACAUCUUUGGUUCAGAGGGUGCUGGUGUUGGUCCUGGAGACUAAUCUACGGAUGUUAGUGUGGAAGUUCUGCAGUGUCACUCUUGGGUGUUUGAUACUUGGACUGAUUUAUGUGCUUAACUGAGGCUACGCAAUGAAGCAAUGAAGAAAAUCCUGGAUACAACCAAGCUGUCACCAAAGAACUCUUAAGUAAAGACAAUUGAGAUGUCAUUUUUGAGAUGUCAUAUUUUUGUACUUGAGUCGAUUUAAGUUUUAAAAGUUUAAAAUGCUGAAUGUUCCCUUUCAUACUUAUGUACUCCUAACAUGUAAUUAAAUAUGCAUGAAAAGUGUGGUGGUGCAGAGACUUUCAACCCCCUGAGCCUUAUAGCCUUUUUUUUUCUGAUCAUUGUCCUUUUGUUCUAAAUUAUUGCAUGUCACAGAUUUUUGAAAAAUGUUAGUGAAACGUAAGCAGUACUGUUAUCAUCGAUUUACCUCAUGUAUCGCUCUACCUCAAAUUUGCACAGUUUUUUGAGGAAAUUGUUCUUAUUUCUGCACUGUUAUAAAUGUUUUUAACAGAGUGAUUUUUUUUUUUUAUAAUUUUUUGUUUUGUUAAAAUUGUUGUUGUUUUUUGCAUUUAUUUCUGCAGAAUUGUUGAUUGUGGCAAAAUGUUUGGAAAAUAGGGUUUAACCUUAAUGUGCAUGUAAAUAUGAAGGCAGUUUUUGUUUUUGUUGUUGCACACAAGUGUAUGAACAUGGUGUAGUAUGUCUUGCUAGCUCAUAUAUUGCCAAAUGCUUUGAAGCAUUAAUAAAUUGAUAUAAUGUAA